GCCGAGAUGGUGGAAUGGUAUACACGCAACACUUAAGAUGUUGUGAGCGUUAUGCUCUUGUGGGUUCGAGUCCCACUCUCGGCACCA
rnacentral:tRNA from 1 species